rnacentral:lncRNA from 1 species
CCAUCUAAGAUCUGAAAACCAUUUUAUUUCUAAAACAAUCUAUCUUUGCUUGAUGUGUAGAUAAUCAAUUCAUGCCCAAAAUAGUAUCAAAAUCAUGUAUAUCUAAAGGAAUUAAAUCUGCUGCUAGCUUAUGCUCGCCCACUCGAAAUAGACAACCUUUGUAUACUUGUUCUGCAACAAGUGGCUCUCCCAGUGGCAUAGAUACCACCAAACUACAAUUUAAUCGACUCUAACUCUUAUC